UACGAGGGGGGCGAGCGUUGUUCGGAAUUAUUGGGCGUAAAGGGCGCGUAGGCGGUGCGACGUGUCUCCUGUGAAAUCUCCAGGCUCAACUUGGAGUCUGCAGGAGAAACUGUCGUGCUUGAGUACUGGAGAGGUGAGUGGAAUUCCCGGUGUAGCGGUGAAAUGCGCAGAUAUCGGGAAGAACACCAGUGGCGAAGGCGGCUCACUGGUCCAUAACUGACGCUGAGGCACGAAAGCGUGGGGAGCAAACAGGG
rnacentral:rRNA from 1 species